AACGCACAUUGCGCCCGCCGGCAUUCCGGCGGGCAUGCCUGUCCGAGCGUCACUACACCCCUCGAGCCGCAGCGCUCGGUUCUGGGGCGCGCGGUGCCCCCUUCAGGGCGCCGCGGCCCCUAAAAGCAUCGGCGGCAGCACCGGUAACACCCUCUGCGCAGUAACACGCUCGCACCGGGAAACGGCGCCGCCGCCCUAAGCAUGCCCGCCACCCCCGCCCCCGGCGGGGAGCGGCCACCAAGGUUGACCUCGGAUCAGGUAGGGAUACCCGCUGAACUUAA
rnacentral:misc_RNA from 1 species